CGUCGCACGACGCAGGCUCCUCCAUCGCCGCUCCUUUUUUCUCCAUCGGACAUGUUGCUCCUACUGGCUGCUGCCCGUCCCCUGCUGCUGUUGCUCCACCUGCCGGUUUGCUGCUGUUGCCCAUCUGCUGCUGCUGCUCCUCCGCCUGCCACUGUUGCCGUCCACUGCUGCUGCUACUCCGCCUGCUGCUGUUUGUCCGUCCACUGCUGCUGAUGAUGCUCCGCCGGCCGCUAGAUCCAUCGCUUUGAGCCAUCGUCUCUUCUUUUCCGGCUGCGCGGCCACCGCCCCUUCAUCCAUAUGCGUUGUUGCCGCAGGUGGAUCGUGAGAGGGAGACGGAAGAAUCGCUCAUGGGGAUGAGGGCUGGUCCGUUCGGAGGCGCUAGUACAGAGGCAAUGAUGCCUUGGCAGGUCAUCAUCCUUGAAGCGACAAUCAAUUUCAACCGGAAAGCUGCGAGUCCUGGAUCGCACAAUUUUCACCCCAAAAACUGCUCCCAGUCUCACACCACACAUACUCUCGGCAGGUCGGCCGGCCGGCCGCCGUGAUGAACGUGAACCCAUCUCGGACGCGAGCUGCCUGCUCCAGCUCCACACCGGUGAGACCACCCUCGCUGUGCAGUGCCCGUUCCGAAAACCAAGUCAAGACGGGAACGCGCCAUGGUCGGCCGGCUGGCAAGGCCAUUAACGCCUCCUCCUACCCCACCCCUACCCCUCUACCACCACCACUCCUCCUACCCCGCCAUCAAUGCGAUCCAUAUGCCCCGCCUUAAAUUCCCCUCGUCCCCCUCCCGUCCCCCACGUCGCAUCUCGCGGAAUUGCUUCCUACUGGCGCUGCCUGCCCCCUGCUCCUCGUUCGCCAUUGCUGACCUCACAGAAGCCUCGUCACCGCGAGUUAGCUGCAGGCCUCGCCCCGCUACGCAUUGCCGCUGCCCUGCCGCUAUAUAAGAAAGCGCCACACGCGAGCAGAUUAGUCUGUUGGUGUUGUUGGAGUCUCGGAGAGCCGGGCCGCGAAAGAAACCAAAAGGGAAUCAAGGAGAGGGAAGGGAUGGUGUUCUUCUGCUUCCUGGUGGACCAGCGGCGGACGGUGCGGAGCAGCAAGCCGGCGGCGGGGAUCUGCUCGCGGUGCGGUGGGUGCGCGAGCGUGGCAGACAUGGAGACCUCCACCCGGGUCUGCUACCUCCUCACCGUGCACCGACGCACCUGGCGCGCCAUCAUCUGCACCUUCUGCGGCGCCAUGCUCAAGUCCUACCGCCACUACAGGCUCUACUGAUCGAUUUCCUCCUUCCGCGCGCGCCUUGUGAGGUGUAGUGAGCUAGUGAUGAUCUGCAUGUGUUCUUUGUUGGUGAUCUUGCUCGAUCUCGCGGCUAUUGGAUUUUUUUUUUGGGUUCCUGCUUGAUAGAUUAUGCUCGGUUUGCAGAUUGUAAUGGCAGCUUGCCUGUGUGCAUGCAUCAUGUAAAUAUGGGAUCGGAGCCAUGAAGUGAACCCUAUUUCCGACUAAUUAACAAUUGAUCCAUAUGACCAUA